CGAAAUAAAAAAUUAGAACUGAACUGCGAAUAAAAAUGGACUAAAAAUUGUGACUAAAAGUUUAAAUAAUUCAAAAAAAAAUAAAAAUCUCGACAGCAUUAUCUCAAUAAACUUAUUGACUAAUACAAACUUUUUGAAUUUUUUUUCCCAGAUCAUCCAGAAAUGAGUGACACAGUUCAUCGCAAUGUAACUUUUUUUACGGUUUCGGGUAAAUUCUUUGUUAAUUAUCAUCUAAUAAAUUCAGGGUCGCAACGUAUUCAUUGAUUUGUAACAGAAAAUUCAAGAUGCCUCAAUACGAUUUUUAAAUGAUAUCUGGGUAUCGAAAAGUUGUCUGAUAGAGAAGGUGCUACACUUAAUUUGUCUGAUAUAAAUUUUUUGCACAUGUGGACAACUUAUUUUAUCAUGUCCAACAAUUUUCAGACAUAUUGCUAUGAUACCGAUCCGUAAAAUUUGUUAACAUUUUCAAAACGGUCUCAAAAUUAAUGCGUUCACAUUUUCGUCUGAAAAUUGUUUUGUUCGCAUCAAAUAACCAAAAUUUACUAAUAAAAAAGAUUUUCAGACGUAUUGCUAUGAGACAUUUUUUUUGUCUCAUUUUUUAUUUUUGUAAGUUAUUUUACGGGUUUGCGCUACACCACUAACGUCUGAAAAAUAUGUUUCCGGUAUCUCAGAACUAUCAUUCAACUACAGUCUGCAAAUCAGACAUAUUGCUAUGAUGCAGUUCGGUAAAAUUCUUUGACAAUUUUGAAAAUUCGGUCAGAUCAAACGCUACGCGGAAAAUGUCUGAUAUUGGUAUUUUCGAGUUCAAGAUAAUCGUAUCUAUCGAUUUGAUGCGGUUUUGGCCGUAUUGCUAUGAGACAAAAAUUUUGGUCGUGGGCUCUCGUACUAAUACAUAUAUACAUAUGCUGCCGUCGAAAACUGCUAUCAUUCUGUAGAUACAUCGGAAGAUUCAUGUUCCAUAAAAUGCUCUGUUUGUGUACAAUUUCGUUAAAGAAAAAUUCACUUAUUUCAACUUUACUCGUCAAUAAUUUCAAAAUUGGAGAUCUCUAUACUCAGCUGAUCAUUUCUUGAUCAUCAACUUGAAACGCUUCUUGCCUGAAAAAUUUGAAAGCAAGACGGCUUUCAAGUUCGAAAAGUGAGAGUGUGUAGUAAAAAAGUGUGAGUGUGUGGCAACUUGAAAGCAAUUUCUUGAACGUGUAACGUCUGGGUUACAGGAUGAUUAAACUAAUAUUACCCAUUCAUAUAGUUAUAUGUUAGUAAAAACAUCCUACUUUAUUCCAUUAAGAUACCCUCCAUAUUGACUGAUAUUCAUAAACACAUAUCUCCUAAAAUGGGAGGUAGACCUGCCUUCAUUUUAAUUUCGUAAACCCAAUUGCCGUAAACUAAAACCAAGUUCCUUUUAGGUUGCAAAGUUUUUGAGUCAACAGCAAAACCCUACGGCAGUAUAUUUAUAAUGCUCUUUCGUCAAAUAUAUAUUGCAAUCACAAAAGGAUGCAAAAUACGCAAACGGUAUUAAUCAAAAACACAAGAAAUGCGUUAACUCAAUGAAACAAGCAAAAAAAAGUUUUAGUUUGUACCGGUUAUGUAGACCCUGCAUGGAGGAAAACAAGAAAUCAAUUGACAUCGAAGUCAUCAGGUGAAAGGUCCAAACAAAAUUUGAACAAUGGCUCCGGAAGGAAUUCGUAAAUAAGUCACAACAAUGGUACACAACUCAUACCUUAGUAUUCCAAAUCACUAAUUUCGUCAUAGAAACAGAUUCGAUGAUGGUAGGUCAAAAUAAAUAUUGUUGAAAUAUAAGAUUUUCAAUUUGUGGCUUUGUGGCUUAAACCGUUUUUUUAUUUUUUUUAUGUUUUGUAUACAAACUACUAUUUAACUGGAAUUCAUCUGUAAUAAUAUAUAGAACUAAGUGCUUUUACCAUUUGUUACUUUAAAUGUUUUCCCCGGUUGAAAUACAACCGUUAAAUACAUACAUAAGUUGCGAGAAUAUCAUAUUUUAAAAUGGAUAACGUUUACGAAAACGAGGAAUAAAAAAUAACAGUUUGCCGAAAAGUGUAAUGUAUUAGUGUUAUAAUAAAAGAGCUAAUCGUGUGAUGUGUUUCGAGAAUACAGCGUUACAGGGCAUACAAACAUAAAACAAUUUACUUCUUAUACAUAAAUAUAUUGAAAUUACAUAAUACUUAUUUAU